rnacentral:lncRNA from 1 species
UCUUGGUGGCUCAGAAUAGUCUUGUCGGUUAAGGCUUCUAGUUCAUGCAUGGAUGGAGAGUGAGGAUUUGAGGACUCCUCUUGUGUUCCAUCGAAGAUUUGUUGUUCUGAUGCCAUGUAGAAGGUGUGGUGAAUCAGAUUCAAAAUGAUGACUCAUUUGAAUUUAUAUACACGCACAUGCCUACAGAGGAUAAUAUAUUAUACAAAUGAUUUAUUUUGUAAUCACUAGAAGGGGCUAACAAAAGCCUUCUAGCUACCUUUAUAUUUUAAUGCAAAAAUUUAGUCAAACAAAAAAAAAAGAUUCUUAUACAAACAAUAGUAGCACACAAAUUAAAUUUGACAGCAUCUCUGUACAGUGAUGUCUUGUGUCCGGACAAAGAUUGGAUUGGGUUUAGUUCUAUGGAAGCUAGUAUUUAUACCCACGUGUUAGUAUCUCAGAACUCAAGUGCCACUUAUCCUUCUAAGUGUCAUAACCUGGGGCACUAGAUCGUAGGGGAUCUUCAGAACAAUUUAUGAGAUAGAUCAGGACGGCCGACGUGAACCAAAGUGAUAAAGAAAAGUUCAUGAUCUUUUGAUGUAUUAAUAUCCUGUAACAAAUGUAUUUAUAUUUGGAAAAUAAACUAAACUCUUCACUUGCGUACAACUAAUCUGAAUCUGCUUCUUCUAUGAGAUCGAAUGUACAAGAAUCAACGUCCUGACAAUAUAUACAUUCUUAUAAUGAACUUGGAUGAACAUAACUAGCUAUGAUCCACUAUCUUUACCCUACCUCUGAAGAUCUAAAUGUUGUUCUUAAACAAAGGAUGCAUUAGUUGUAAGAAAAACUUUUUUCUAAUGAAUAAUUUUACAUUUUGUUCAAGAAAAUGAUCCAAAUAAAAUAAUUAAAAUUAUGAGGCAAGAGCUCUCUGAUAGUUUGCCUAUUUGAAGUACACACAAAAAUACGGUCCGGGUCCUCAAUUCUAGAGAUUCCUCUGUCAGAUAAGGUAUUACCAUCCUCUCUGCAUCUGCACGGAUCUAUCAUCCUUCUUAUUAAUUAAAGCAAGACCUUCCUUGCCGGUCACACAGAUGAGGUUUUUGCAGUGGACUGGACUCCUCAUGGUGAGAGAAUAGUGUCAAUGCUGCUAUGGGGUGCGUUGAAGAAAUAACAAUUGCCGCUUCUUUUAUCACAGUAAAAUUAAUCAAUUUUUGGUUUGCUACGAUAUGUGUUUACGAAAUCAAGAUUAGUGAUUCGACAACACAGUAGCCAUCUCAUUUUGCAUAGAUUUUCCAUCCAAAAUUGAUAAAAGAUUUCUCCAACUAUCACCGACUACUGUUCAGAAAUGCUAGAAAAAAGGAAUAGAAAAAAAGAGAGCUCAGUGUAUGGCUAAAUUGCAUCCCGAUAUCAGAUGAAUUCGAUGGACCCAACCAUCGCUGAAGCCUAAAUCCUCACAGCUCUUUGCACCAGCCGGGAAUCGAACCCGGGUCUGUACCGUGGCAGGGUACUAUUCUACCACUAGACCACUGGUGCUGAUUGUUUUAUCUUCUCCGUCAUCGAUAAUAACGGAUAGUUGAACAAAUUUGUAACUGCUGAAACAAUGCCAGUGAUAUAAAUCUGUUCGAAGAAGUCACCAUACAAUUUAUUCCAGGCAGGAAAGCGAAAAGUAUGGUACUUUUAGGUUACUACUAUGGAUUGCUUAUAUAAGAAUUGCUUGGUAAUUUCUAACCGGUAAGAGGAUAAUAACAUAACUCAAAAGGGUGUUUCAAUGAAACCAAAGACUAAUUAUCCAAUACACUCAAUUGAUACUAAUGCAGUCAUAAUCUGAACACUCCAUACAUUAAAAAAAAAAAGAUUCAAACUUCUUGCUAAGAGGUCCAAAGAAAGUAAAGAAAGAUCAGCAGGCUUCGUAGUCGCCUUGUGCAUACUUGUUUUCGGGGUAAUACACAGCUACCACUUGGUUUCCAUCAAACUUUCUUCCAUUCAUCCCAGAUCUUGCCUUUGCUGCGCCGUCCAAAUCCGCAUACUCUAAGAAAACCUGCAUUGAUAUUAAAUAUAAUAUUAUCAUUAGGACGAAUGUGCUGUAUGCAUGAAAUUAGUAAGAACUACUUCUCUGAGCUGAAAAACGAACCUUCCCAACUCCUGGUUGUGAAUCAUGAUCCGCAUUGGGCCUCGGAAUCACAACAUUCACCAAGUUACCUGCACACACAGAACAAUGAAUUAUCAAAAGUUCCAAACAUGUAAAAAGAGCUCGAGUGUGUGUAUAAAUGGCAGAUCCUCAGGAACAUAAACACAAAAACUGAAAUUGCCUACCGAAUUUCCCACCUUCCAGUCUCAUGUCCUCCAUUAUGUCUUCAUAUUCUUUAUCGUCCCCAAGAACAUUAGCUGUAACCACUUGAGUCAAACAUACAAUCUUGGUGGGCGUGCCUCCUGGCUGUAGCAUAAGCCUCUGUUACAGAAGUUCAAGAGACACUUAAAUCAGUGAUAUUCAGAAAGUUUAGAUAUAUAGUAGUAAUAAUAGGACAAAGCAUAAAGUAAAACACACACCUGCAAAGCAAUCUGCUGUUGGGCAUGAAGUAAUAUAUCUUCUUGCUCAGGCUUAGGUUGAAUCGCACCUUGGACUGCACGCCUCACCGUAAGUGUCUUAUUGCCCAUCUUAAUCCCGUUUAGAGCAGCACAUGCAAUAUCUGUGACUGAAGGAUCCUGGAAUACACAGAAUGCAUAUCCCAUCGAGUUUCCAGUUUCCCUGUCUUUAACCAAGUUGAAACCUCUUAGCGGCCCAAAGGACUCCAAGAGCUCCCUGAUCUGAUCCUCUGUCAAGUAAUAAGGAAUCCCACCCACAAAUAAGCGGUCCGGACCCUCAAGCCCACCAGUAGACCCCGAGGAAAAUCCAACAGCCGCCAAGUUGAGAUUGGGAUUAGGCUGGCUCGGACCAAGAGCUGCAGCAAGGGAUGGGUUAUAGUCAGUAGGCCUCUUCACCUUUACAGGAACCCCCUGGAGAUGAACAUAGGUAACAUGUUAAUACACACAAUACAUAUUGUAAUUAAUAAAAAAGAAUAAGAGUGAACAUCUAAACUGAAAAAAAGAUAAUGAAUCACCUCUAAUAUAAUUCCGUCUAAUGCCAUUGCAUUACUAGCCUCCUCAACAGAUCUCAUCUCCACAAAGGCGAACUUCUUUUCAUGGUUUAUAUAAACAUUCACCACCGCAUCGCCUAUGUAUGAAAAGAGAGAAUGAGUUAUUGUGUAGCCUUGUCAAAGGUAUAAGACAAAAAAAACAAUGGAAGUUUCGAUACCUGGCCCAGCAGUGUUUCCCCCAACCGCUGACAUCACUUGGCUAAAGAAUGUUGCAACAGACUACAAUAUGAAGUUCGAUUCUCAGUACUCAUACAAUGAUAUUGCCAAAGUUUGUGGUUUAAAAUGACUAUAACAGACAAAAAGUAACAAAACCUGUUCAUUUGCAGUGGGUGGAAGGCCACCAACAUAGACUCGUCUAGCAUGCCUAGUUGCCUGCGAUCAUAACACAGUAUUAGGAAGUCAAUCUUGAUAAAAGGUGAAGAACCAAACAAUAAAAUAGAUCUUACCUGCUGAGUCAUUGCCUGAACUGGCAAUAAAGGAAGCGCUCCCAGUUGCUAGGUGAGAAGAAAUAAUGAGAAGUUAUAAGUACGUUCGCAUAAAAACAAGAAAAAAAAUAAAAAAUAAAGAGACGCAAGCGAAAGUACGGAUUUAUACCUGAUUAGGGACCAUUGCGAGCACGUUGUGGAACAUCCCUGGAAUAUUAGGAGUAGCUAGCACACUAGGAACCUGGCCUGCUAGAACAAGAGCAAUCAUCAGAAAUUAUUACUUUCCGGAUGAGCAGAGACCAACCAACAAGCACAAAGCCACAUAAAACACCUUCCUACCAACUACACCGCUGAUUACAGAAUAAACCAACAUCUUAUGAACUUUUAAAAUAUGAAAAGUAUAAAUGCAGUGUCAAAAUUUGUCUUAAGGCUAGAAAACAGCCAUAUAGCUGCCAUUCGAGGAUGAAGAAUACCCAUGACAACCGUUGCACUGAUUGCUCCUUGUACUAUUAUACGCUAGAGAGGUCGGCUCAUUGUCCGCAUGUGGGGAAACUAACCCAACAUAGCCUUCUUACUACAAUAAGACAAGACACAAACAAACACCACCAAAAAGACAAAAAAAAAAGAAAGUCUCUCAGUUCCAGAACCAUUUCACCAGGGAACAAAAAAAAAAAGGUAAAACAUCCUAUGGAGAGAGCAUGAAUCUGCAAUAAAGAAUGCAGCUUACCAAAGUCACACCGUGUAAUUGACUAUGAAGUUUCCAAAACUACGUAGAAAUCAAAAACAACAAGCAGUUAAGGAAUAUAAUAACGUUGAGUAGAUGAUGAAGGACAUACCUGCUGCAGCAACGGUAGUAGGAGCUAACAUUGCAGAAGAAGGGGGCGGCAUAUCGAAUCCACUUACCCUCUUGCUGAAAGGGCAUAAAUUAAGAGGUCAGACAUCAGUAGAAACAACUACGAAAUAAAUAAAUAUAUGUAUAAACAUCAAAGAUGACACUACAUUCUUUGUGUUCAUACAAUUCACAAAGAUUAAACCCUCGAGACACGUAUGGAUACUCUCCAAUGAAGGUAGAAUAUAACAGAGAAGCCAAGGUACCUCUUGGAGCGUGUCCUUGACCGUGAACGUGAUCUACGUUCAGACCUUGACCUACGUUCAGAGCGGGUUCUCGAUCGAGAGCGUGAAUACUUCCAAACUUUUGCUUUUGGAAGAAAGUCCACAUGGAGAUGAAAGUGUCUUUGGGGUCUCUCCAUAUGUAAACCAUCUUACAACCAGAGUUCGAAAUCGAUUCGGGUAGUAACCCGUGCGGCAUAUGAGUCGAAAAGAGAGUGUUCCCUUCAUCUUUGAGAACAUCAACUUGAGGAAAGAAAGCAGAUUCGAUCUCAAUGAAGGGAACAAGCUCGUGAGGGUUACGUUUCAGGAGAGGGUUCGAGGAAUCGUCGAAGCGAGAUCGGUUGACGAUAGAGAAAGCUAGGGCUUUGAGCCAAGUGGUGCCUGACUUUGGGUAGCUACAAAUGAAAAAGUCAACGGGUCGAGCUUGGAAGAAGUCUUGAGCGUGAAGGCAACCUGCUAGGAGAGGCUCUAUGAUCCAGUGACCACAGUACCCGAUGAACGGAGCCUUCUCAAACCAGCCUUUCGCGUGAGGCAACGUGGCGGUUAGGUCUUGGUACCGUUUCUGAAUGUUCUCGAACUCUGUUGACGCUAUCUUGCCCUCGUCUUGGUGGCUCAGAAUAGUCUUGUCGGUUAAGGCUUCUAGUUCAUGCAUGGAUGGAGAGUGAGGAUUUGAGGACUCCUCUUGUGUUCCAUCGAAGAUUUGUUGUUCUGAUGCCAUGUAGAAGGUGUGGUGAAUCAGAUUCAAAAUGAUGACUCAUUUGAAUUUAUAUACACGCACAUGCCUACAGAGGAUAAUAUAUUAUACAAAUGAUUUAUUUUGUAAUCACUAGAAGGGGCUAACAAAAGCCUUCUAGCUACCUUUAUAUUUUAAUGCAAAAAUUUAGUCAAACAAAAAAAAAAGAUUCUUAUACAAACAAUAGUAGCACACAAAUUAAAUUUGACAGCAUCUCUGUACAGUGAUGUCUUG